rnacentral:ncRNA from 1 species
CGUGCCGAGGAGCGCUGCAGCGGGGUGGGACCCCGUCAGGCUCGGUACGGAGCAUCAAACUGCAGUAACGGCGCUCAUCCAUC